UACAGAGGGGGCAAGCGUUGUUCGGAAUUACUGGGCGUAAAGGGCGCGUAGGCGGCCUGUUAAGUCGAACGUGAAAUCCCCAGGCUCAACCUGGGAACUGCGUCCGAUACUGGCAGGCUUGAAUCCGGGAGAGGGAUGCGGAAUUCCAGGUGUAGCGGUGAAAUGCGUAGAUAUCUGGAGGAAUACCGGUGGCGAAGGCGGCAUCCUGGACCGACAUUGACGCUGAACGGCGAAAGCUAGGGGAGCAAACGGG
rnacentral:rRNA from 1 species